rnacentral:rRNA from 1 species
UACGUAGGGACCAAGCGUUGUUCGGAUUUACUGGGCGUAAAGGGCGCGUAGGCGGCAUGGCAAGUCACUUGUGAAAUCUCCAGGCUUAACCUGGAAGGGUCGUUCGAUACUGUUAAGCUAGAGUGUGGAAGAGGCUACUGGAAUUCCGUGUGUAGCGGUGAAAUGCGUAGAUAUACGGAGGAACACCUGCGGCGAAGGCGGGUUGCUGGGCCGACACUGACGCUGAAGCGCGAAAGCCAGGGGAGCGAACGGG